rnacentral:lncRNA from 10 species
CUUUAUUAGUAAAGUGAUGGGAUAGGUCAGGAUUUCUCUAAAUUCCUUUCUUCAAAAAAUGUUUAGGAUAAAUUUUCACUAUCCAUUAUUAUUAAAUUUGCUCAUCAUUUUGUUAAUAAUUUCCUGCAUUUCAAUUCAGUUCCAUUUAGAUUCCUACUGUGCGCUGGCACAUGGCUGAACUACAUAGCUUCUGACAUGUGAAUUGAAGACAUAGUUUAAUACACACAUUAUACAUGCGUAUGUAUAUAUAUCACAUAUAUAUAUAAUCUACACGUAUACAUAUAAGAGAGUCCCUGUUCUAAUGGUGAGCUUAUAUUUAUGCAAUGUCAAUUUUGAUAUUUAUUCUUGAAUUUAAUCUAGAAAAGUUAGAUAAUGACCAGUCAUAGUCUUAAUUUUUAUUCUUAUUCAUGCCAAAAUUAUUACUCUACUAGUAGAGUAAAUAGAUAGGAUCAUGGUUAUAGUUUUCAAGGGAGAAGAGAAUAUAGACAUUAUUUAAUCCAUGUCCAUUGUGUUACGAAGAAUGCAAAAAAGACACUGACUUGCCUAACAUCAUAUCAGUUAUUGUGACAGCUGUAACUAAAACAUGGUAGCUAGUGACUCUGAAUCCUUUGCUUUUGAGACUACAAUUCAGUCUAACUCUAUGAGACUCUUACUGAUGGUACACAGAACAGACCUAUGUAUUAGCCUCAUGGGGUUUACCAUCUGCCGGGGGAGCUAGAAAUAAGACAAUUAUUUAUACCUAUAUAAUAGGAAGGUUACAGCGUGCUGGAACUUAGCAGUAGUCAGGGAAAUUGAACCUAGACUAUGAGUCAGGGAAGGCCUCCUGAUGAUUUGAUAGAAAUUGAAGUUGCAAAGGAAACAGUUCGGCAAUGAAGGAAGAAGAACAUUCUAGGCCCACUGAACAGCCUGUAGAAAGGGUCAGAGUGAGUAGAUAGUGUGUGAGACGAACUAAGUGAGGGCCAGAAGGAGCUUAGGGAGCAAGGGGAAGAAAGCUUGAGAUAGAGAAGUUAGGUGAGGAUCUGACUUGGGCUGCUUUGGAGACCUUGGCGAGGAGUAGAUGCAUUUGAAUGGAAACCCAUGGCAAGGUUUGAAGCAGUGGAGUGGCUACCUUGGAAGUCAU